GAUGAACGCUGGCGGCGUGCCUAACACAUGCAAGUCGAACGGAGUGUUGAGAGCUUGCUUUUGACACUUAGUGGCGGACGGGUGAGUAACGCGUGAGUAACCUGCCUCUGAGAGGGGAAUAACGUUCUGAAAAGAACGCUAAUACCGCAUAACACAUAUAUGCCGCAUGACAGAUAUGUCAAAGAUUUUAUCGCUCGGAGAUGGACUCGCGUCCGAUUAGUUAGUUGGUGAGGUAACGGCUCACCAAGACCGCGAUCGGUAGCCGGACUGAGGGGUUGAACGGCCACAUUGGGACUGAUACACGGCCCAGACUCCUACGGGAGGCAGCAGUGGGGGAUAUUGCGCAAUGGGGGCAACCCUGACGCAGCAACGCCGCGUGAAGGAGGAAGGUUUUCGGAUUGUAAACUUCUUUUAUCAGGGACGAACUCUGACGGUACCUGAUGAAUAAGCUCCGGCUAACUACGUGCCAGCAGCCGCAGUAAAAC
rnacentral:rRNA from 1 species